GCCAGGUGUCGUGGCUCAUGCCUGUAAUCCCAGCACUUUGGGAGGCUGAGGCGGGUGGUUCACAAGGUCAGGAAUUCAAGACCAGCCUGGCCAACAUGGUGAAACACCAUCUCUACUAAAAAUACAAAAUUUNNNNNNNNNNAAAUUUUGUAUUUUUAGUAGAGAUGGUGUUUCACCAUGUUGGCCAGGCUGGUCUUGAAUUCCUGACCUUGUGAACCACCCGCCUCAG
rfam:Gorilla gorilla gorilla genomic chromosome, chr7, whole genome shotgun sequence